AGAACCAGAAUAAGAUUGUAGGGAAAUAAGCCUUGUUACAAGGUUUGAGGGUCUCUGCUAGAAUCAUGUGGACCCCAGUGUAACAAAUCUAUGGAAAGAGAGAAAAUCUCAGCUCAAGGGUCAACAUGUCUUUAUUCCAAGAAAGAGUGUACAUAUGCCAGAAUCAUAUGGACCGCAGACUGGCCCUGGUGAUUCCGUUAAGAAAAAAGAGGAAAAAUCAGUGCUUGUGCUCAUUGGUCAUUGGACAAAGGGUGAAUGCCAGAAU